AAUAGAUACCCGGGUAGUCCACGCCGUAAACGAUGAGUGCUAGGUGUUGGGGGGUACCACCCUCAGUGCCGAAGCUAACGCAUUAAGCACUCCGCCUGGGGAGUACGGUCGCAAGACUGAAACUCAAAGGAAUUGACGGGGGCCCGCACAAGCAGUGGAGCAUGUGGUUUAAUUCGAAGCAACGCGAAGAACCUUACCAGGACUUGACAUCCCGCUGACCGGUCUAGAGAUAGACCUUCCCUUCGGGGCAGCGGUGACAGGUGGUGCAUGGUUGUCGUCAGCUCGUGUCGUGAGAUGUUGGGUUAAGUCCCGCAACGAGCGCAACCCUUGUCCUCUGUUGCCAUCAGGUUAAGCUGGGGCACUCUGAGGAGACUGCCGGUGAUAAACCGGAGGAAGGUGGGGAUGACGUCAAGUCAGCAUGGCCUUUAUGUCUGGGGCUACACACGUGCUACAAUGGCCGACACAAACCGUCGCGAUGCCGGCAAGGUGGAGCUAAUCGGACAAAGUCGGUCUCAGUUCGGAUUGCAGG
rnacentral:rRNA from 1 species